rnacentral:rRNA from 1 species
ACACUCCUACGGGAGGCAGCAGUGGGGAAUUUUGGACAAUGGGCGAAAGCCUGAUCCAGCAAUGCCGCGUGAGUGAAGAAGGCCUUCGGGUUGUAAAGCUCUUUUGUCAGGGAAGAAACGGUGAGAGCUAAUAUCUUUUGCUAAUGACGGUACCUGAAGAAUAAGCACCGGCUAACUACGUGCCAGCAGCCGCGGUAAUACGUAGGGUGCAAGCGUUAAUCGGAAUUACUGGGCGUAAAGCGUGCGCAGGCGGUUUUGUAAGUCUGAUGUGAAAUCCCCGGGCUCAACCUGGGAAUUGCAUUGGAGACUGCAAGGCUAGAAUCUGGCAGAGGGGGGUAGAAUUCCACGUGUAGCAGUGAAAUGCGUAGAUAUGUGGAGGAACACCGAUGGCGAAGGCAGCCCCCUGGGUCAAGAUUGACGCUCAUGCACGAAAGCGUGGGGAGCAAACAGGAUUAGAUACCCUUGUAGUCCCAUG